rnacentral:lncRNA from 1 species
CUGGAGUGACCAUUACCACCUCCCCCAACAGGAACAUUGUAACUACAACAGGAACCUAGCACAACUGUCCUCUAAGAAGCUCCAUCCAGCAGCCAAUGGAAAGAGAUGCAGAAAGCUACAACCAAAUACUGGAUGGUGCUCAGGGAGUCUUAUGGAAGAGUUGGGGAAAGGAUUGAGGAAUCCAAAGAGGACGGGGCUUCCACAGGAAGACCAACAGGUCAACUAACCUGAACCCUUGAAGGCUCCCAUAGACGGAACCACCAACCAAAGAGCAUACAAGGGCUGGACCUAGGACCCUACACAUAUGUAGCAGAUGAGUAUUUUGGUCAUCAUGCGGGUCCCCCAACAGCAGGCAGGGGGCUGUUCCUAAAUCUCUUGCCAGCCUGCCUGUGGAUCCUAUUUCCCUAAAUGGACAACCUUGUCUGCCCUCAGUGAGAGAGGGUGAGCCUAGUCCACCAGCAAUUUGAUGUGCAGUAGGAGGGAGUUUCCUUUUCUCAAAGGGGAUGGGAAAGGAGGAGUGGGAGGAGGAUCUGCAUGAGAGGGUACCGGGAGGAAGGGAGCUGAUAGUAGGAUGUAAAGUGAAUAAAUAAAUAAAUUUAACAAAAAGAAAAAAGAAAAUGCCUCCUUAAGGCUGAGUUGUAGACAAGUGUGUAGGGCAUUUCUUAAUUAGUGAUUAAUGGGAGAGGGCCCAGCCCAUUGUGGGUAAUGCCUUCCUUAGGCUGACCAGCCCACUGUGGGUGAUGCCUUCCUUAGGCUGAUGGUCCUGGGUUCUAUAAGAAAGUAGGAAGAGCAAGCCAUAGGGAACAAGCCAGUAAGCAGCAUCCCUCCAUGACCUCUGCAGCAGCUCUAGCAUCUAGGUUCCCACCAUAUUUGAAUUUCUUCCCUGGCUUCUUCAUUGAUGGGCUGUAAUGUGGAAAUGUAAGCUUCUCCAAGUUGCUUUUGGUCAUGGUGUUUCAUCACAAAGUAGUGACCUUAAGGAAGACACAAUGUGAGAAAGGAAUUAGAAAAAGAUAUAGGGGGAAGAUGAGAGGUAAGGCCAAGAAGAGAUGAUGAGAAAGGAGUGUGAGGGGAGGCUGAGAGAAGAUGUGAAGGCAGCCUGUGAGGAGAGGGUGCAAGGAAAGGAUGCGAGGGAUGAAGAAAAAACAUACAAUGUGAGGAGGGAUGGAUCAUGAGGAGUUAUGAGGAGAUGUGAAGAGAGGCUCACAUAAGAGAUGUGAGGUGUUUUAAAUAAAUCCAGCCAGUCCUUGCUUUUAUACACUGAAGUUCUGUCCACACAUGGAUAUAAUUUUU